rnacentral:rRNA from 1 species
CACUGGUGGCAAAGCGGAUAGAGUUGAUUAAGCUGGUAGCAUUCAGUGCUGAGUGUGUUGCGGCUGUUGUGUGCCUGCUUUGCGGUCUGCGAGGCGGUGCAUGACUGGCUUGCGCGGCUUGGCGUGCAUUUGCGACUGGCUAACGCUGAGGCAUUCGGCUGCCCCUUCUGAAGUGUGCAGUGUUGCCCACCCUCGGGUGGUGUCUUGCUGUAUGCGGAGGUUGUUUGUGGCGGCUGGGUGUGCGUGAGCGCGAGCUUCGCCUUUGCGCAUGUGCUUGCUAGCGUGCGUCUGGUAGUAGCGAUGGCUUGCCACUUGUUGCUGCUAUGGCGUACGUGUUGUGGGUGCGUGCUUGCGAGCUCGUUCUCGGCGUGAACGUCAACCACCUAUCCGACCCGUCUUGAAACACGGACCAAGAAGUGUAGUAUUUGCGCGAGUCAUUGGGUGCAAAACCUAACGGCGAAAUGAAAGUAAAGCCUGCCUUGUGUAGGUGAUAUGUGAUCCGUGUGUCCUUGGACGCGCGGCGCAACAUAGCCCCAUGCCGGCUGCUUGCAGCGGUGUGGCGGUAGAGCGUAAAUACUGCGACCCGAAAGAUGGUGAACUAUGCCUGAGCAGGAUGAAGCCAAAGGAAACUCUGGUGGAAGUCCGAAGCGGUUCUGACGUGCAAAUCGAUCGUCUGA